rnacentral:lncRNA from 1 species
CCGGCAGACCCCGGGAGCGUCGCUACCGUCGCGCUUCCUUAGAUAGGCGGCGAGAGACCUCAUUGAGCUCAGGGUGGGGAGAACCUCCCCCGGCUGCUACCGCCAGCAGGAUUCCUGUCGGGCACCGAGGGCAGGUCCUCUGUCUUGCUGGCUGCUGCACCUUCACUUCCUGGAACAGUGAAUAUAAUCUCUACAUCCAACAUUGUGCUAGAACUCCCAACCCCCAGAUCAAGACUCUCAUGCUCUUCCAACUGAGCCAGUCAGGCACCCAUAGGUAACAUGGUGGAAAUAUAUCACCCAAGCCCACAGCCAGCUGCCAACAUACGAAGGAGGCCAUAUUAUACCACCCAGCCCCAGCUGAACCACCAGAAGACUGCAGUGGCAUAAAUGGCCCUAGUUAACUCUAAGAAGAAAUGCCCAGUUGAUUCCUACCCAACUUGAUGACUCACAGAAUUGCAAGCAGAGACAGCCAGCGAGAGAGGGAACACAGCAGGGGGAGUGGGAGAGGAAGAAGCAGGCUCCCAGCGGAGGAGCCUGAUGCGGGGCUCGACCCCAAAACGCUGGGAUCACGCCCUGAGCCGAAGGCAGCCGCUUAACGACUGAGCCACCCAGGCGCUCCAUGAUUCUACAUAACUUGACCUGACUCCAGCUAUCACCAGAGACCAACAUAUUCUAGAGAAAAAGUUAUUUAAAUAAUAACCACAAAAAUAAGCACACAAGUGAGUACAGACAACAUUUCGGAAAUAGUGGUGCUGGUUGUACAACAUUGUGGUUUUACUUAGUGUCAUUGUAUUUGUGUAUUUUAAAAUGGUUAAGGGGAGCCGGGCUGGCUCAGUCGGUAGACAACAUGACUCUUGAUCUCAGGGUUGUGAGUCCGAGCCCCAACCUUACGUGAACCUUAAUGAAAUA